rnacentral:rRNA from 1 species
AUGCGGAAGGUCCGGGCGUUAUCCGGAUUUAUUGGGUUUAAAGGGAGCGCAGGCGGAGAUGCAAGCGUGACGUCAAAUUUCGGGGCUCAACCCCGUCUCGCGUCGCGAACUGCGUCCCUUGGUUGCGGGAAGGGGAGGCGGAACUCGUGGUGUAGCGGUGAAAUGCAUAGAUAUCACGAAGAACUCCGAUCGCGAAGGCAGCCUUCCGGCCCGUCAACGACGCUCAUGCUCGAAGGUGCGGGUAUCAAACAGGAUUAGAUACCCUGGUAGUCCGCACAGUAAACGAUGGACACCCGCGGUUUGGCCUAUAUGGCUGAGCCGCCAAGCGAAAGCGUUAAGUGUCCCACCUGGGGAGUACGCCGGCAACGGUGAAACUCAAAUGAAUUGACGGGG